AAUGUGGGACGUAUUACAGCCGGAUGUGGUUCCUUUGGUGGUGACAGCUCAUUCUAAGACACCGGAAGUUCUCGUCGGUUUUGGUGACGCUGCAUAAGACUGCAAGACAUGGAACGGUCUAGGCUUUUUGGGCUGGUCCUCCUCAGCCUGGCUCUUGUCGGAGCUCAGGCACUCACACCGGCGCAUUACCUCUCCCUGUCUGAUGUGGCCCGGCUGCAGAACCUCCUGAGCCAACAAUUCACAGAUCUGGACUCCGCAUACUACUCUGUUAUUGGUCUGACCAAGCUUGGAGCAGCGGUCCCUGAUCACGAGGGAGUAUGCCAGUUUAUCAAAUCCCAACUGGAUCCCACCAGUGUCGACUCUCUCUUCUUUGCUGCAGAGACCAGUCAAGCCAUUUCAGGAUGUGAGAUCCCUGUGUCUAAUGAAACCCGUGACAUCCUCCUGGCAGCAGUUAGUGAAGACUCGACCAUGACUCAGAUCCACAGAGCUGUGAGCGCGCUCAGCUCUCUGGGGCUUCCUCUGGCUUCCCAGGAGGUUGUCGGUGCCUUGACAGGUCGCAUCAACAAGGAGGACAAUGUUAUGGCUAUCACUUCAGCUCUGCAAACAGCUGCCCGCCUCUCCCAGCAGGCAGAACUUGGAGGAAUACUGGAGGAAAUUGAGGAUCUGACAGCUCGUUUGGAUGAUCUUGGUGGCAUCUACCUCCAGUUUGAGGAGGGACUUGAGGCGACCGCCAUGUUUGUGACUGCUGCCUAUUCCCUUUCAGAUCAUGUGGACAUGGAGCCCCCUCUUAAAGAGGACCAGGUCAUCCAGCUGGUGAACUCUAUCUUCAGCAAGAAAUCCUGGGACUCUCUGGCUGAGGCCUUCAGUGUGGCAAGUGCCGCUGCUGCUCUUUCCAACAACCGCUUCCAUGUGCCGGUUAUUGUCAGUGCUCAGGGCCCCGCCACAGUGUCCCACAGCCAGCCAACCCUGCAGCUCCUUGUUACUGAUGUCAUGUCUCAACCUCUGGCCUCAGCCAACGUUCUGGUUGAAUCUGCAUACGCUGUGGCCUCCAAGAGCAUCAUCCUCAGCCAAGCACCUUUCACACUUAACGAUGGCGUCUUUGAACUGAACUUCAUGUCCAGCCAGCCAGCCAGUGGAUAUUACCAGUUUACCGUUGCAGUUACCGGGGACAGCCGGCUAGUUGCCAAUCAUGUAGAGCUGAAAGUGAAGGUGUCCACUGAAGUGGCUGUCACUAACAUGGACCUCUCUGUGGUGGAUAAGGACCAGAGCAUCGGCACAAAGACCACCAGAGUGGACUAUCCUUCCAAAGCCAAGACCUCCUUCACAGCAGACAGCCACCAGAACUUUGCCAUGUCCUUCCAGCUGGUUGACGUCAACACUGGAGUGGAGCUGACCCCUCACCAGACAUUUGUCCGGCUGCACAAUCAGAAAACUAGCCAAGAGGUUGUGUUUGUGGCUGAACCGGACAGCAAAAAUCUGUACAAGUUUGAGUUGGACACAGCAGAGAGGAAGUCAGAGUUUGACUCCAUGUCUGGCACCUAUUCCCUCCACCUCAUCGUUGGGGAUGCUACCUUGGAGAAUCCCAUCUUGUGGAAUGUGGCUGAUGUUGUUCUGAAGUUUGUGGAUGAGGAGGCCCCCGUGGCCUUUCAGCCCAAGACUCUUUAUGUACCCAAACCAGAGAUCCAGCACUUAUUCAGGGAACCAGAGAAGAAGCCUCCCACAGUGGUUUCCAACACCUUCACCGCACUCAUUCUGUCGCCCUUCCUGCUUCUGCUCAUCCUGUGGUUUAAGCUCGGAGCCAACAUCUCCAACUUCAGCUUCUCUCCCAGCACCAUUCUGUUCCACGUAGGACACGCAGCCAUGCUGGGCCUGAUGUACGUCUACUGGACUCACCUCAACAUGUUCCAGACCCUGAAGUACCUGGCGAUUAUCGGAGGUGUAACUUUCCUAGCCGGGAACCGCAUGCUGGCGCAGAAAGCAGUGAAGAGGUACGUCUCCUGAUGGCGCCAGGCACAAAUGGUUCCUAGAGAGCCCUUAGUCCCCAGCAGAAAGCCGAGCUCCUUUCACCCAAGGAGGAGUCAGGUGCUUUGGGGCCUCUUGGUAGUUCUUAGCCUUAAACCUGAGAAAAAGUGUCUAUUCCAUAUUGUAGCUCCUCAGCUGGUCCCCAGAGGCUGACUUCAAUGCCCGGCUCUCUGGCAGAAGGAGAGCUCGUGCCUACUUGGUCUAGGAGAGAAGCGUAGAAGCAAGAUCUGCAAAAGUGAUGAUCUAAGUGGCCACUUUCCUCACUAUCAAUAUGAAGAGCCCUCAAAGGGCCAGAGUGAGCAACUUGUCUUGAGUCAGAGACACCAGCUACACCACUCUGUAAUUGUUCACCUUUAUACCUGGCUCUUCUCACAGCCCAUUUAAUCCUUUUAAGCAAGUAGAACUUUGCAAUUAAUGUUUUCACAAAUGUCAUUUUUCCAAUAAGGACUUUUUUCCUUUCUUUCCUGCUAGUCUCUGUCUCCUUGCAGCUGGUGCCUGUGCCUUUUAACCCCUCUAUCCACACUUCACUGUCUCUGUACUCCUUUUUCAGGAUUGCUGCAGAGCAAAGUAGUAGGUUGGCAAAGUAUAGGAGCCUACGAUAAAGCCCCCAUUUGUAACAAAUGAGUCGGCCGUGCUUCCAGGCUGAAAAUUGAGAAAAAAUAAGAAUAAUUGAAAGAAGACACUGACGAAGAUCAUCUUUUGUUUCCAAGGAGUCAUGCAACGUUGCAUCAAAUCAGACUUUAAACAUGGCGUGGCAGUUCAAGAACCCAAUCGACAGUUUAAACAUGCAGUUUGUCUGUGUUGCCAAAUAGAAGAAAUUGAGAACUCACUGCAUCUCCGAGGACAAGCGCUCACUGACAGAUACUCUUACUGAGGGCUGUAAAGCUACUGAUCAUUGCACUUCAUCUUCCUGUGAGAUUUGUUUUCUUGUUGUCCAACAUGCCAGUGUUUUCUAAGUGAGCUGGGAUUUUUUAUUUGUGGUUUCCUGGUGGAUUUUGGGUUGAUUUGUGUUUUUCUUUUUUUUUUUUUUGUACAUUCCUCCUUUUCUGCUCAAUGCCCAUUUCACCUCGUAACAGAAGCUGUUAGUUUCAUCUGUUGGCAGUGGCACUGAUUGGUUGAACAUUACUAACUAUGCUAGUGGGUUUUGCCUGUUUGGAGCAUUGAAUGUGUAGGAAGAGCUGUGGUCCCUUAUUUGAUACAGAGUUGACGUCCCCAAGAAAAAAUGUUAAUAAUAAAAUCUGGGCAAUUUGAGGAAGUGAUGUUUUUGUAAUGAAGAGGAAAUAAAGAAUUUGAGGUGAA